GGUGUACAAAUUCUAUGACCCAAAGUCGAAGAAGAUCCUCAUAAGCCAUGAUGUGAAGUUUAAUAAAGAAAGAAUCUAGAAUUAGAGCACCAACAUGAUAAAGAUGUAAGAAGAAGAACAAGUGAAGGCUCAAGUUGAAGAUCCCACACCUCCUUCAUCACCUAACACAAGAUCUCCAUCCUCAAGUGAAGAAUCCAGAAAGACAAGAAAUAUUCA
rnacentral:lncRNA from 1 species